rnacentral:rRNA from 1 species
GGGGAUAUUGCACAAUGGGCGCAAGCCUGAUGCAGCGACGCCGCGUGAGCGAAGAAGUAUUUCGGUAUGUAAAGCUCUAUCAGCAGGGAAGAAAAUGACGGUACCUGACUAAGAAGCUCCGGCUAAAUACGUGCCAGCAGCCGCGGUAAUACGUAUGGAGCAAGCGUUAUCCGGAUUUACUGGGUGUAAAGGGAGCGUAGGCGGCAUGGUAAGUCUGAUGUGAAAAUUUGGGGCUCAACCCCAAACGUGCAUUGGAAACUGCUAAGCUUGAGUGCCGGAGAGGCAAGCGGAAUUCCUAGUGUAGCGGUGAAAUGCGUAGAUAUUAGGAGGAACACCAGUGGCGAAGGCGGCCUGCUGGACGGUAACUGACGCUGAGGCUCGAAAGCGUGGGGAGCAAA